GGUCAGCCUGCCGGGAACGAGUUGGGGCUCACGGGGGAGGCGCCUGGCCCGCGUUAGGCAAGGCCCCCGGGAAAGCUGCUGCCCGUGCGGGAGAGCGUGUUCCAGCCUGGGCGCCCUCGCUGGGGACACAGAGAGGCCGUUCCCUCUUCCCGAGCGCAGAUGGAAACGCUCUCCCGGCCCUGCGGAGGGGCGGGCCCCGGAUCCCUGCCAACUCGGAAAGUCGGGAGGAUUUGCCUCUCCAAAGCGAUACCGCUGAUUACAUUGAAAACUUUAAAGCCGACUGCUAUGUUGUAAGCCACCCAGUGGAGAGGCCCAUGUGGGAAAGAUCUGAUGUCUCCAGCCAACAGCCAUGUGAGGAGCCCGGAAGGCGAUCCUCCCUCAGCAGAACCUUGAGCUGAUUUUGGUCCUGGCAGACACCUUGAUUAUAGCCCAUAAGACCCUGAUACAGAGGACCACUAAGCUGCAACUGGAUUGCUGACCCAUAGAAACUAUAAGAAAAUACAUGUUUAUUGUUUUAAGCUUCUCAGUGUUGGGGUAAUUCGUUUUGUAGCAAUAGAAAACUAAUGCAGCAUAUUCCCCAAAGCAGGAGCUGUUUCUUCUGCUUGAAACCAAACGGCCAGCCUCUUCUCCACAAGAUAAAGUCUUGUUCACCCUUGACACCUGGCUCAGAUGUGACCUCUGGAAAACCUUCCUAACUCAGUCAUGCAGAGCUCCUGUCCAUGGCCUUGUGGUCUUCACAGGGCUUUGCCUCUGCCUGUGCUGUCUUCAUUGGCAGCCUUGCUAGGCGUAACUCCUAGAGGGUAGGAAACAUUUCUUCAUGUUCCCAUCACUGGUGCCUGGCACAGCACCAUGCUAAAGCACCAUUCCUGGAACGGAUCACUGACUGUUUCACAGAAGCGAGGAUCCCAGGCAGAAGAGGGCAUCUGGUGAUUCUCACCCUUCUUUGAUUGUUGUCUCUUUUAGCAGUUUUGUAGCAGG